UGAGGAAUAUUGGGCAAUGCCCGAAAGGGUGACCCAGCAACGCCGCGUGGAGGAUGAAGGUCGUAAGAUUGUAAACUCCUGUUAGAGGGGAAGAAUAACUAAGUUUGGAGCUUAGUAUGACUGUACCCUCAGAGAAAGCCCCGGCUAACUACGUGCCAGCAGCCGCGGUAAAACGUAGGGGGCAAGCGUUGUCCGGAUUUACUGGGUGUAAAGGGCGCGCAGGCGGAAUGGAAAGUCAGUGGUGAAAUCCUACAGCUUAACUGUAGAACUGCCUUUGAUACUUUCAUUCUUGAGUUCGGGAGAGAGAGACGGAAUUCCAGGUGUAGUGGUGAAAUACGUAGAUAUCUGGAAGAACACCAGUUGCGAAGGCGGUCUCUUGGUCCGAUACUGACGCUGAGGCGCGAAAGCGUGGGGAGCAAACA
rnacentral:rRNA from 1 species